AGAGUUUGAUCAUGGCUCAGAACGAACGUAGCGGCGCGCUUAACACAUGCAAGUCGUGCGAGAAAGGGGCAACCCCGGUAAAGCGGCGCACGGGUGAGUAACACGUAGGUAAUCUGCCCCUUGGUGGUGGAUAACCUUCCGAAAGGAGGGCUAAUACAGCAUGAGACCACGGUCCCGCAAGGGGCUGAGGUCAAAGCCGG
rnacentral:rRNA from 1 species